rnacentral:rRNA from 1 species
CCAAUAGCGUAUAUUAAAGUUGUUGCAGUUAAAAAGCUCGUAGUUGAAUUUCGGGAUCAAGUCGUCGGUCGUGCCCAGGUACGUACUGGCGUCAUUGAUUUCUCCCUUCUGACGAACCAUGAUGUCAUUAAUUUGGUGUUAUGGGAAAUCAGGACUGUUACUUUGAAAAAAUUAGAGUGUUUAAAGCAGGCUCACGCCUGAAUACAUUAGCAUGGAAUAAUGAAAUAGGACGUUCGAUCCUAUUUUGUUGGUUUUAGGAUCAACGUAAUGAUUAAUAGGGAUAGUUGGGGGCAUUAGUAUUCAAUUGUCAGAGGUGAAAUUCUUGGAUUUAUUGAAGACUAACUACUGCGAAAGCAUUUGCCAAGGAUGUUUUCAUUAAUCAAGAACGAAAGUUAGGGGAUCGAAGACGAUCAGAUACCGUCGUAGUCUUAACCAUAAACUAUGCCGACUAGGGAUCGGAUGAUGUUAAUUUUUUAAUGACUCAUUCGGCGCCUUACG